GAUGAACGCUGGCGGCGUGCCUAAUACAUGCAAGUCGAGCGAACGGACGAGAAGCUUGCUUUUCUGAUGUUAGCGGCGGACGGGUGAGUAACACGUGGAUAACUUACCUAUAAGACUGGGAUAACUUCGGGAAACCGGAGCUAAUACCGGAUAAUAUUUUGAACCGCAUGGUUCAAAAGUGAAAGACGGUCUUGCUGUCACUUAUAGAUGGAUCCGCGCUGCAUUAGCUAGUUGGUAAGGUAACGGCUUACCAAGGCAACGAUGCAUAGCCGACCUGAGAGGGUGAUCAGCCACACUGGAACUGAGACACGGUCCAGACUCCUACGGGAGGCAGCAGUAGGGAAUCUUCGGCAAUGGGCGAAAGCCUGACGGAGCAACGCCGCGUGAGUGAUGAAGGUCUUCGGAUCGUAAAACUCUGUUAUUAGGGAAGAACAUAUGUGUAAGUAACUGUGCACAUCUUGACGGUACCUAAUCAGAAAGCCACGGCUAACUACGUG
rnacentral:rRNA from 1 species